rnacentral:rRNA from 1 species
UACAGAGGUCCCGAGCGUUGUUCGGAUUCACUGGGCGUAAAGGGCGUGUAGGCGGUCAGGUAAGUGGGAUGUGAAAUCCCUCGGCUCACCCGAGGACCGGCAUCUCAUACUGCUUGGCUUGAGUACGGGAGAGGAUGUGGGAAUUCCUGGUGUAGCGGUGAAAUGCGUAGAUAUCUGGAGGAACACCGGUGGCGAAGGCGACAUCCUGGACCAACACUGACGCUGAGUGAGCGAAAGCCAGGGGAGCAAACGGG